UGAGGAAUAUUGGACAAUGGGCGAGAGCCUGAUCCAGCCAUGCCGCGUGCAGGAAGACAGCCCUCUGGGUUGUAAACUGCUUUUAUACGAGAAGAACCACGGCUACGAGUAGCCGUCUGACGGUAUCGUAUGAAUAAGGACCGGCUAACUCCGUGCCAGCAGCCGCGGUAAUACGGAGGGUCCAAGCGUUAUCCGGAAUUAUUGGGUUUAAAGGGUCCGUAGGCUGGCCAUUAAGUCAGAGGUGAAAAGCUAUGGCUCAACCAUAGUCUUGCCUUUGAUACUGAUAGUCUCGAGUCAUUUUGAAGUUGCCGGAAUAUGAGGUGUAGCGGUGAAAUGCAUAGAUAUCUCAU
rnacentral:rRNA from 1 species